GAUGAACGCUGGCGGCGUGCCUAACACAUGCAAGUCGAACGAGGUAUUUUGAUUGAAGUUUUCGGAUGGAUUUCAAGAUACCGAGUGGCGGACGGGUGAGUAACGCGUGGGUAACCUGCCUCAUACAGGGGAAUAACGGUUAGAAAUGACUGCUAAUACCGCAUAAGCGCACAGUACCGCAUGGUACAGUGUGAAAAACUCCGGUGGUAUGAGAUGGACCCGCGUCUGAUUAGCUAGUUGGUGGGGUAACGGCCCACCAAGGCGACGAUCAGUAGCCGACCUGAGAGGGUGACCGGCCACAUUGGGACUGAGACACGGCCCAGACUCCUACGGGAGCAGCAGUGGGGAUAUUGCGCAAUGGGGGAAACCCUGACGCAGCAACGCCGCGUGAAGGAUGAAGGUCUUCGGAUUGAAACUCUUUAUUAAGGACGAAGAAAGUGACGGUACUUAAUGAAUAAGCUCCGGCUAACUACGUG
rnacentral:rRNA from 1 species